rnacentral:piRNA from 1 species
UAAGUCGGAAUAAUAUUCUAUGGUAGAGAU